rnacentral:rRNA from 1 species
UGGUAAAAAGGUAGCCCCUCCCCCAAAAACAACAAACCACUAUCAAUACCCCCAAAUACACCACCAAACUUAAUAAACCAAACCAUUUUUCCCUCCCAGUAUAGGCGAUAGAAAAGAGACACCAGGCGCAACAGAGAAAGUACCGCAAGGGAACGCUGAAAAAGUAAUGAAACAACCCAGUAAAGCUUUAAAAAGCAGAGAUUCAAACUCGUACCUUUUGCAUCAUGAUUUAGCCAGCAAGCCCCAAGCAAAGAGCACUUUAGUUUGACACCCCGAAACUACGUGAGCUACUCCAAGACAGCCUACACAAUAGGGCGAACCCGUCUCUGUGGCAAUAGAGUGGGAAGAGCUUCGAGUAGAGGUGACAAGCCUACCGAACCUAGUUAUAGCUGGUUGCCUGAGAAAUGGAUAGAAGUUCAGCCUCUCGGCUUCUCCCCUCACCUAUAAUACUUUAGACAUCAAAGAAACCGAGAGCGUUAAUCAAAGGAGGGACAGCCCCUUUGAUACAAGACACAACUUUUACAGAAGACUAAAGAUCAUAUUAACAUUUAAAGGUAAGCAUGUUCUGGUUGGCUUAAAAGCAGCCCUCCCUACAGAAAGCGUUAAAGCUCGGGCAUACUACCCACCUCCUCCCUAUCUUGAUAAUUAAAUCUUAAGCCCCUACCCCUAUCAGGCCGCCCCAUGCCAACAUGGGGACGACCAUGCUAAUAUGAGUAAUAAGAGAACAUAAGACUCUCUCCUCGCACACGUGCAAAUCGGAACGGACCCCCCACCGAACUUUAACGGCCCCAACCAAAGAGGGCAUUAGAUAUACAAAUUAAACAACCAGAAAAACAUCCAAUAACUAACCGUUAACCCAACACCGGUGUGCCUUUUCUAAAGGAAAGACUAAAAGAAAGAGAAGGAACUCGGCAAAUAAAGCCUCGCCUGUUUACCAAAAACAUCGCCUCUUGCAAAAUUAACAAAUAAGAGGUCCCGCCUGCCCUGUGACUCUAUGUUUAACGGCCGCGGUAUACUGACCGUGCGAAGGUAGCGCAAUCACUUGUCUUUUAAAUGGAGACCUGUAUGAAUGGCAUAACGAGGGCUUAACUGUCUCCUCUUUCUAGUCAAUGAAAUUGAUCUCCCCGUGCAGAAGCGGGGAUAAAACCAUAAGACGAGAAGACCCUAUGGAGCUUUAGACACCAAGGCGGCCCACAGUUCAUAACACCAAAAUAAAGGACCAAACAACACAACACUCCGCCCUAAUGUCUUUGGUUGGGGCGACCGCGGGGUAGUACAAAACUCCCGCGUGGAACGAGAGGACUUCCCUCUUACAACUAAGAGCUACCGCUCUAAGAAACAGAAUUUCUGACCUAUUAGAUCCGGCCCUGCGCCGAUCAACGGAACGAGUUACCCUAGGGAUAACAGCGCAAUCCCCUUUUAGAGCCCAUAUCGACAAGGGGGUUUACGACCUCGAUGUUGGAUCAGGACAUCCUAAUGGUGCAGCCGCUAUUAAGGGUUCGUUUGUUCAACGAUUAAAGUCCUACGUGAUCUGAGUUCAGACCGGAGCAAUCCAGGUCAGCUUCUAUCUAUGACAUGAACUUUUCUAGUACGAAAGGACCGAAAAGCGGGAGCCCCUAUUCCAAACACGCCCCCCCCCCACCUAAUGAAAUCAACUAAAGCAGGUAAAAGGGCAUACCCUCUCCGCCCAAGAAAAGGACAU